AUGGACCUCCCAAAUCCGGCGCAAAUCCACACCAUGCCGAGCCUCCACCAUCCGUGUGCGCUGCCCAACGUCGACCCCAUCUCACCUCCCUUCUCCAACAAACCUUCUUCAUCUGCCAUGGAUCCGUCAACUGCGACCUCCCCCAACGAUCGCUGCUGGGCCAUCGCGGCCACUGCCUACUGCCUCCCGUUGAUACGACGGCUACCACAGGAUGACCGGCGCUCUGCCAAUCACUCCACCAUCGCCUCCUCUCUAGUGGACGCGGGUCCGGCGAGAGGCCGCCGAGAAGAACCUCUGGUCGCCCCACUGGUCGUGGCCGCAGCAUACAUGGACUGCUGA
rnacentral:rRNA from 1 species